GCAUGACUAUACUGGAGGCUGGACCUUCUCGUGGACCCGUCUUAUAUCAUGUCAUGCUAAAGCAAAGCUCCUCCGACCAUUGACGGGCCCAACUCAGUGGGCUUGAUCACUGAAGUGAGCAGAACAUGG
rnacentral:snoRNA from 1 species